rnacentral:misc_RNA from 1 species
GAAACAACUUAAAACCGAUCAGAUGUCUGUUAGAAGCGUGAGCAUUGCUGGAGGAGAAAUUGCGAAGUCAUUUGCCCGUCAUCAGCUGAAUUCUGAACUCCCUUCGUCUCCAUCCAGACAAAAACCGAGCCAUCCAUCAGGCUACCACUCUCCAACAACCCCUUCCAAGCCAACCACUUCAGUAGCAGCAGCCAGAAAACUGAAACCAGCAAGCCCGAGAAUUAGUGCAAUGAACCAAGAUGAUGAUAACCGAAGCAUGCUUAGCGUGCAGUCAGAACGGAACAGGAGGCAUAGCAUAGCAGGAUCAUCUAUAAGAGACGACGAGAGCCUGGCAAGCUCGCCUUCAGUCCCAAGUUACAUGGCGUCCACUCAGUCUGCGAAGGCCAAAACACGGUUGCAAAGUCCAUUAGGCAUGGAAAAUGGCAAACCAGAAAAAGGAUCAGCAGGGUCUGUGAAGAAGCGGCUCUCUUAUCCACCGUCACCUGCCAGAACAAGGCGGCAUUCAGGCCCACCAAAGUUUGACAACACCUCUUUGAACACCUCCAUCGCCGAGGAUCAUGUGAAUGGAGUCGUCAACUAAUUAUUCUUGUCACAAACAAUAAGCAAUCCUGCCACCCUUCUGGCUUAUAGGUACGCGUUUAAAAUGCCCCUCUCUGCGCGAUAUCAACUACUUUGAUUUGCUGCACUUGAGUCGAAUGUCCUUCAGAAACAGUCUCUCCACUUGUGGGAUUUCACUAGAAACUCUGGAGUGAAUAUAGUAAUGCAGACAAUGUGAUUGGAACAUGCACUCGCGUACGAUGACUAAGUCUCAAUUCCUAAUAAGUCAGGGUCGAUUAUAUGAAUCUUUACGAAAAAAUACACAUGAAGUGUAAA